ACUGACUAGGCCGGCGUUGGGUGGAAUAGGCAGCGGCUGGAAGGCCCGCACGCCGCCCUCGGCCCGCCGCGGCGCGCAGACCCCGGCGUGCAGACAUGCGCGCUAGGGCCGGUGUCACCGGGCUGCCGCCUGAGCCGCGCUGCGCGUGCGCAGGGCAGCGUGGCCGUCACCGCCGCCGGUGGAAGUUUCCGAGCAGCCGGGCGGGGGCAGCGGACGCCACCGCAGGCGCUUCCCCCGCCGGCCGGCCCUCCCUCCUGACGUAAGGGCGGGCCCCGGUCGCAGAUCCCGCCCCAGGUCUCUCAUCCGAGGGUCCGUGCAGCAGGUCACGCUGCGCUCUCUGGGGUCCGCGCGUCGGCCCACGUGCUCCCUGCACCUCGCGGGGUGAGCGGCCAGCGUGCCGUGCCGGGUGGCUGGCUCCGCCGCUCCGGAGCCGGGAAGGACACGCGGCAGAGUCCUGCUCCCUAGCGGGUCUGCUUACAGGCGUUUGGUUUGCUUUUUAAAAUGAUUUUCUAUGCGAAAAGUGAAGUGAAAACUUCCAAGUUAAUUCCCUGGGCAAAAUGGGCAGUGCUAGCCGAGGAACGGCUGGUGGGCGGCGCGUCCGGCCCCCGGCUUCGGUUUUUCCAGCUGCACCGAGCGGGCAGGAGUCAGUGGGAAACCGCCCGCCAUCCACAGCCUGCCGUUUGCCAUCCCGGUGUCCCGAGCGCGAUGGAAGCCGGGUUGACAGUGGCACUGUUUGGAAUACAGCGCCAACCACACAUCCUGUGAGGUCCAAAGCAAACGCCAGUGUCGUUGAUCAUCGCGGUGCCCCGCGAGCCUGGGCGACGUGAGGCCCCGCGGCUGCCGCCCUGUCUUCAGGCGGAGUCCCCGCAAAUGCACUCCCGGGCCAGGGCCCUGAAGCUGCCUUAGCCCAGUGGCGCCCGGGCUCCAAGCCUUUUAAGUAGAACGGGACCUGGCCUUCGUACAGGCGUGUUGUAAAUGCUACCCCCUCGUCUCCAGCACAGAUGAGUAGACAUUACUAAGCACUUGACCCUUCAAACAUCGCCCCAACAGGAAAGGUCCGUGUGUUGCAUACAAAGGCUUUGGGGCAAGUGGUGGUGGUUAGUAAUGAAAAUGAAUGUUUCAGACGUUUUCAAAUACCUUCAUAUUGUACACGUGGAAAUCAUGACCAAGGAUUAGAACGUGCAUUCAGUAAACUACAGAAAAUCACACACAAGUCAAACGGCCGUUAUUCUGGAGCUGUUUGCUUCCAAUGGCUCAGUCCAAAAUCCUUGGUCAUGCCUGGCUCCUCUCUCUGUCCACAAUGAACACAUCCUCUUGGCUCCACUGCCCGAAACAACCAGAACCCAACUGCUACCCCUCCUCCUCCCUCCACCCCUCUUUCCCCGCCACCCGUCCAUUUUAAAGCAGUGCCUUCUAGCUGGUUUCCCACAUUCUGCACAGCUGCUCGUGUGAUCCUUUUUAAAAAACAAAAAAGAUGUUACUAUUUUAAAAAUCAUCUCAUGCCACUCUUAGAAUACUAUGCAGCCGUAAAAAGGAAUGAGAUCAUGACCUUUGUGGGGACAUGAAUGGAGGUGGAAGCCACUAUCCUCAGCAAACUAACACAGGAACAGAAAACCAAACACCGCAUGUUCUCAGUAAUAAGGGGGAGCUGAGCAAUGAGAAUGCAUCGACACAGGGAGGGGAACAACACACACCGGGACCUGUUGGGGGUUAGGGGAAGGGAGAGCAUCAGGAUAAAUAGCUAAUGCAUGCAGGGCUUAAUGCCUAGGUGAUGGGUUCACAAGUGCAGCAAACCACCAUGGCACACAUUUACCUAUGUAACAAACCUGCACGUCUUGCACGUGUAUCCCAGAAUUUAAAGUUGACAUUUUAAAAAAUUCAGUCCAUGCCACUCCUCUGCUCAAAACCCUCCAGUGGCUUUCUCAUUCAGCAAAAUGGAACAACCUUGCUAUGACCUGCAAGUCCCUUAUCCCCUGGUCCUUCCCCUCUUCCCCUGCCCUCACCUCCCAGCGCUUUCCCUAGCCCAAACAAUACCAGCCAGAAGCACCCCUGGCACACUCCUGCCUCAGGGCCUUUGCACUUGCUGUUCCAUCUGCCUGACAUGCGUUCCCUCCUCCCCAUCUUAGUGAGGACGUCCAAGUGGCUCUUUAGUCUAAACUGCAAACAUAACCCUCAGCAUCCCGUUUCCCUUCCCCAUUUGCUUUUUCUCCCUUAGUUUCCUGGAGCUGAGUAACAAAAUGUCACAAACUGGGUGGCUUAAAACAACAAACGCAUGCUCUCACAGUCCUAGAGGCUGAACGUCCAAAAUCAAGUUGUCAGCAAGGCCGUGUAUCCUCUGAAGGCUGUAAGGGAGUGUGCCCCAUGCUCUCCUCUCAGCUUCUGGUGUUGCUGGCAAACCGUGGCAUUCCUUGGCUUGUUGGUGCAUCACCCCACUCUCUGACACGUCAUCGCAUGACGUUUCCCUGUGUCCUUGAUUUGUGGAUGCAGCGCUCCACUCUCUGUCAUCAUCAUCGCAUGGCAUUUUCCCUGUGUCCAUGUCUCUUCUCAGAAAGACACCAGUGGCAUUGGAUUAGGGCACCCUAGUGUCUUCCUCCUAACCUGAUUACAUCUGCAAAGAGUUUCCAAAUAAGGUCAUAUUCGCAGGCACCCAGGGUUGGGACUUGAUCAUAUCUUUUUGGGGGACACUAUACCACGUCAUAUGUAUUUUAUCUCAUUUAUCAUUUGUGUCCCCCGCCCCAUUAGAAUGCAUGCUCCGUGAAGAGAGGAUAGGAAUGGCUUGUCCCUGCUGUGUAUCAGCUCAAGGAUUGUCUGACACAUCAGUCCUUGGUGAACAUUGGCAGAAUGACUGGCAGCUGAUUGAUUGGCCCAGCGGGAAUGGACACGGGCAGUUGCCCUUGUCCAGCUUCCAGGAUCUGUUACACAGGCCUAAAGCAACAACCAGAAGCCUUCCUGGGUGUUUACAUUACAGCACACCAGACUGCAGGCACCGCCACCCCAGACUCUGCCUGCAGCUAAAGUCACCAAGUUUGCCGUGCCCCAUAACUGAGGUCAUUGGCAGCCCAGCACCAAGCCUCACUGGCAUCAAGGGCAGCGGGUUAGUAAGCAUGGCUCCACACGGGUAAGCAGUUCUAGGAAAUGGGAAGAAACCCAGACCAUCCAUCUCAGGGUAAGUUUGCUGGAUUUUCUCUCUCUUUUAAGAGUCUUUCAACAGGGCAUACAGCCCAUUCUCAAAUUUAGAUUUCUGUUUUUGUUAAGAACAGGGACUGUGGAACGAAUUUGCCUGACUUUGCCAUCAUUCUGCCAUUUCCUAGCUAUGUGGCCUCAGGCAAACUGAUUAAACUUACUGGCCUCAGAAUGGGGAAAAUUUCUGUAACUCAUGCCUGGAAUUACGUGAAGAUGAAAAGCAGGCAUGUCCAUGAGAUGCUUACAAGAGGGACCAGCGCCGUGUACCUAUUCUGUGCAUCCUACCCGUCCACUGUUCCUUCUCCGUGUUUCUUGAAGAAGCUGGAGUUUUCUUUCAGUCUUCUGCUUCUCCUGUUGCUUCCUCUAACUGAAGGAAGAAUCAGUCCAUGGCUUCUGCUCCAUGCUUUCUGCUCUUGGUUCAGGCUCCAACUUUCCCAUUAAUGGAAGAGAAUGGCUCUCCUGCUCCCAGCUGUAAUGAACUAAUUAAUUUUUCUAUCUCUCUAAUCAUUCUCUAUUCCCUGCCAAACCCUCUGGGUGUCUGUUUUGUUCUAUUGUUCAAGCCUGGACUUUGAGGGUAGGCUGGGGGCAUUGCUAGUCCCCACAAUUGCUAAUCCAGGCACUUGAGUCAUUAUCUUCUAUACAUCACACUUAACAACCAGAGGGAAGUGCAACCUCGUGGGCCUCGGAAAGGAAACCACCCACAGACUUGUGCGCCUUCUUCGCAGGCCAGGCUCUCCUUCCCCCAUGGUAAGAAGGUGAAGACUUGGAGAUUGGUGAGUCAGGCAAUCAAGGUCAAAUUGACAUACUCUAGAAGAUUACAUGCCGUGUGGAACAGUACUGGGCAGUGGACCCACUGGGACAGGGGCUCAGGAGGCUAUGGCAGUCCCGCAGGAGAUUCUGGAGGUAAGGGGUUGAAUGGGGAGCAGCGUUGAUUUGGAUGCAGCAUGGAUUUUGAAGUAGAGCCAGCCAUGGGGAGCUAGUGGGGAGGGAGGCAAAGAGUGAACAAAGCAUCCGUUCGGGUCGGUGGCCUCAGCCAUGGAUGAAAGUCUUAUUUCCUGAGAUGGGGGACACUGGGUGGAGCAGGAAGCAUCCCUCUUUAGGAAAUGCUAGGUUGGAGAUGUCCCUCGUACAUCCCCAGGAGACAGUUGGACACAGAGGCUUGCAUUUAGAAGAGAAGCCAGUCUGGAAAGGGCCGUCACGGAGCAAGCCCUGCCUGGCUGGCAUGUAGCAGAGCUGCAUGGGGUGAGCUCACCCGGGCGGGGACGGGUGUGGAAAGCGCAGAGAAGCAGGGUAAGAGCAGCCUGAGGGUGUGGGGGGAGGUGGAUGGAGACGUGGGCUUGUCAUUUGUCUUUGAGAAUUCGCUGCAUGGCAUUUUAAACCUCUUUAAAUUUCUGAGUAGGUUUGAGGUGUGUGUUGUAAGUUUUCAAGGCCCUAUUCAAUAAAAUAUCUGGGUAAUUACUACACUCAGGAAACUGGCGCAAGUCCACUGAGGCCUAAAAAUAGCAAGUUUACAGACCUGUGGAUUCUUUUCUCAUGACAGUGAGGCCUCACAGGCCCUGCCAGGCAGCCCGGGAGGUGCAGGCCCCCCUUAGAGACACAGACAGAGGCUGGACACAGAGCCUGGCUGGCCGAGACCUUUCCAGUGAAUUCUGUGCCACCAGAAGGACAGGCAUAGGCGAUGGCUGGUGCCCUCACGAGGUCACCAGUGGGCUGUUUGUUGAGAAAAAUGCUGCUUGUAAUUUUACUUUCCUUCUGAAUUUUAGCCGUUUUCUUCUGAAUUUUAGCCAUUACACGGAUGAUGGCUAAAAUCACAAAGGGCACAGAAGCACAAAGGCCAGGGGCAAGGGUGGGGAGAAGCAUGGGACAGCCACAUUCUAAACAUGGUGGUGGCAUCCUUGAAAACGAGUGAAUGACCGAGGCAAUCCAUUUCCGAGGUUUUAAUCACAUACAUAAUCAUUGGUUGUGAAAAAGUGUUUCAACACCAGCGAAGACAUGACCACAAAACCAAUGUUUAGGGAAAAACACAGAAGACAUUAUUCACAGCUGUUGUCUAUUCAUUUACUUCUUUGAAUUGGAAGAGUGGUUUUAGCUGUGAAAUGCCUCCAUGCAGCUGGGAAAACGUGGUCUCUUCCAUAGGAGUAUUUGAGGACCUCAACCCUGGGUCCGGACUCUGGUUUACAAUUGUAGUUCAAGAUGUUGGUAUUGGAAGGAGGGGCCAGGAGAACAAAUCCUCCUACACAAAGAGGCUUGCAGGAGAUGUGUUACUGCCAGGGGGCUGUCCACAGUGUACUUACUUCUCCUUGAAGACACCUUGAGAAAGGACAGCGCAUACUGGUAGUGAUCUUGGCAACCUGUCUUAGGCCAGGCACAGAGGCUGAGAUGGGGGGUCACUUUUUUCUUUUUUUAUUUUUUUUGUUUGUUUGUUUGUUUUGAGACAGAGUCGCACUCUGUCACCCAGGCUGGAGUGCAGUGGCGCAAUCUCAGCUCACUGCAACCCUGCCUCCCGGGUUCAAGUGAUUUUCCUGCCUCAGCCUCCUGAGUAGCUGGGAUUACAGGUGCAUACCACCACUCCUGACUAAUUUUUUUUGUAUUUUUAGUAGAGACGGGGUUUCACCAUGCUGGCCAGGCUGGUCUCAAAACUCCUGACCCCAGGUAAUCUGCCC
rnacentral:lncRNA from 1 species